AUGCUUUUCAAACUCUUCCCUCCAGCCAGUCACAAGUCCACCAGAGGGAGCACAACAAAAGGUUGGAGAGUGCAGAUCUCCACUUUCCAGGGUUCAACUCUGUUGACCAUAAUCCUAGUGACAAGCAACACAAGGGAGUCAAGCUCAGCCCAGAUCAAUCUUUUGGCCAGCUGCUCCAGUGCAUCAUGGGACUCUGGCUCCCUAUUGAUGUGGAUCCCCAAUCCCCAACACAUCCUUCAGAGCCACGCCCAAAAUAGGUCACAUGAUUUAUUGUAUUUGAUGUGGAUUUUAUCUUUAUUUUUCGUCAUCAGUCACUUAAUGUUGUACUUUUUAUGUUAUAGCCCUAGACCUUAGAUUGUAUUGUUUGCUUACAACGUAACCUUCUUUUUAGGCAUUAAACUUGGCAGAUAUGCAGAUUUGUGUCAACUUGCCUUUUUGUACACAUGCCUAAACUGUCAAGGAGCUCAUUUGCCUUCUGUCCUGAAAAACCUCCAAAGUGGUGAGUACCAUAUAUUCACUGGUUUCAUAAAUUGUAUGUGGCAAGUUAUUUAUCUUUGUGUUACAUUUACUCAUCUAUAUUGUGUGUUAUAGAACAGAAAGAAGUCCAAGAAUGUGUGGAAGAGGGUGCUGUUCCAGCUGACACCAUUGACGUCACAGCUGAGAAGUGAGCAUGGGUUGGGCUCCCUAGUGGCACAGCAAGCUGUCCACCCAAAAGACCUUGUCCUGGCCAAGCCUCACACUGACCCCCAGAGGGUGGAGGAGGAUGCUGGUAGGCCCCAGGCCCAGAACCAGGAGCUCCUGUCAUUGUAGGCUAGCCCAGAGGCCCAGACCCAGGCCCAAACAUGCCCCCCCCCCCCCCAGCACCCAGGGUCCCCAGUGCUUACCUCCUCAGGAACAAGCCUCUGGUGUUCCACAGUGUUAGGGAGAGGGUGCUGAGGUGACACACCCAGCAGGAUCGCUCAACAUACAAACUGGACAGCAAGGUCACUCAUACUGUCAUAGUACUGCCCCAUGGCAUUCUUUUGUAUCUCGAAGUAUGGCUGACCUAUGAUCUGACUGGUCAUUAAAAGGGGUAUCUCCAUUGCUCUCUGAGUGCAAUGGAAUGCGUAGAGUACAUGUAACUAACAGGCGUGAAACCUGCUGCUGCCUCUCAGUUCUUAUUCAUCAGGCUUGUUGAGAGAUGGGAAAAACCCUGAUUUGGCUCCACAUGUCUAGCAAUGAGGGAGAGUCACGGGAGAGUGAAACUGGGCAUUGGUUCUGAAGAUGCGGGCCCUGAUAGCUCCUAUUACAGUGAGCUUUUCUGCCUAGUUUUAUAACUGUUUAUUUUCUGUUUUCCAACAUCUCAUGUAGAGAGUGGUCAGUGGUCACGUACUUCCUUGAUUAUCCAUGCUUUAGGAAGAAUGUAAGAUUUUUUUUUGUUACAGCUGUUCAUAAACAAAUGAAUUACAGAAUGUCAACUUAACUGAAUGUUUUCAAAAUAUACUGUCUAGGAUGUAUGCUUCUUGUGGACAACACUUGUCUAUCGUAAUGUCCUGUUGGUGUGUGUAACGAGGAGAGGAACUGCUAUGUCAUAGGAUUUAGUUUAGUCAAUGAAAAUAAACAAAUGUUUGUAGUGUUCCACUUGAAUAAGGUAAUUCUGGUAACCCAUGUUUUGUUUGAGAAUAAUAGAAGAAAAGGAAACACACUUAUGUCUUCAUAGCUCUUACACUAGACUGGAGGGGAUGGCAUUGACUGGGAUAGGUCGGUCUUCUCAGACUAUCUGUGGAGAAAGCACAACCUUCCGCCCAACUGGGACAGAGAAAAGCCAUCGAUCCCCAGAAGACACAACUGUGGGAUGGCUUUGGCUUCUACCCCAUCCCUAAGGCCAUGCUCCAUCACCACCCCAGGAUCCCUCUGUCCGUAGGUAACACUGGAGCUCUAGGCUGCAUAUGCAUGCAGGCCAGGAGGCUUUGCUAUGCUGUCACAGAGAUGCUUACCGAUUUGUAGAUCUGACAAUGAAUGGAUUAAGUUGAUCAAAGAUUAGCUCGUUUGUAACAAACAUAUAAAUACAUUCAGCAUGAACCAAUCAAGGUUUAUCCUUGCAUGUCCUCUAAGCACCAUCGUGCCUUACAAUUCCAUGAUUUUCCUUCAGGACACAGCUUCGACAGAUGUGGUCAGUAUAUCAUGUGGCAGACCAGGGGGUUAGGUCAAAACGUUUACACAGAUCAGACACGGACAGAGUAGGAUUAGCUCAGUUUCAAAGGUGUUUAUUAAAAUAAUAGUCCAAACGAAAAUAAUAGGUUUUCCCCAAGACACCCUCUCCGGGAUACCGUCUUCUGGGCUCCGGGUCUUGCUUUAUCCUUGUGGGGAUCAAAAACUGAACGCACUCACACCUCUGGAACCGUCCCAACUAUACGGGAGUCCUUUCUUCCACCAGUGACCCGAUGGUUUGUUUCCCUUCCCCUGGCCAUCCAGACCAGGGGAACAUGGUCCGUGACCAGGGUGAAGUGGGUACCUAACAGGUAAUACUUGAGUGUCUAGCGCCCACUUCACCUCUAGACACUCUUUCUCAACAAUAGAGUAUUUUUUUCUCUCUGGGUAUCAGCUUUUGUACAUGAUGGGGUGCUCCUCCCCAUUGUAUACCUGGGACAGAACGGCCCCUAGUCCUGUGUCACAUGCAUCCGUCUGGACCAACAUCGGCACGUGGAAAUCGGGCAUUACGAGAAUCGGAUGGGAGCACAGCGCUUCCUUCAAGCGCCUGAAUGCCGCUUCUGUCUCGUCCCUCCAUUUCACUGUUUUCGGGAGGCGGGCCCUGGUUAGAUCGGUGAGGGGGGACGCUAUAGCCGCAAAGUUGGUGCGUGGAACGGGCCAAUCACGUACAGUGUGAACCUUCCUCUCCUGGGGCUUAUCGUUCCCCUGUCCGAUCAAAUACCCCAGGUACUCCACCUCCUCGAACCCUAGUUUGCAUUGCUUGGGGUUCGCGGUCAACUCGGCUUGUCUGAGCACAUCAGGUGUUCUGCCCAACCUUGGCUGUGUAUGAUGAUAUACAGAUAGGCCGCUGUGUACUACUGGUGGGGUCGAAGUACUUUGUUCAUCAGUCGCUGGAAUGUGGGUGGGGCUCCAUGGAGACCGACUUCGUUUGGUGUCAAACGCUGUCUUCUCCCG
ensembl:lncRNA